GGACUACAGGGGUAUCUAAUCCCGUUUGCUCCCCUGGCUUUCGCGCCUCAGCGUCAGAAGAGGUCCAGUCGAGCGCUUUCGCCACCGGCGUUCCUAAUGAUAUCUACGCAUUUCACCGCUCCACCAUUAGUUCCCUCGACCCCUACCUCCCUCAAGACGACCAGUAUCAGAGGCACUUUUCCGGUUGGGCCGAAAGAUUUCACCCCUGACUUGGUCACCCGCCUACGCGCCCUUUAAGCCCAGUGAUUCCGAACAACGUUUGCACGGUUCGUCUUACCGCGGCUGCUGGCAC
rnacentral:rRNA from 3 species